rnacentral:rRNA from 1 species
ACUACGGGGGGCUGCAGUGGGGAAUAUUGCACAAUGGGGGAAACCCUGAUGCAGCGACGCCGCGUGAGUGAAGAAGUAUUUCGGUAUGUAAAGCUCUAUCAGCAGGGAAGAAAAUGACGGUACCUGACUAAGAAGCCCCGGCUAACUACGUGCCAGCAGCCGCGGUAAUACGUAGGGGGCAAGCGUUAUCCGGAUUUACUGGGUGUAAAGGGAGCGUAGACGGCCAGACAAGUCAGAAGUGAAAGCCCAGGGCUCCACCCUGGGACUGCUUUUGAAACUGCCGGGCUUGAGUGCAGGAGAGGUAAGCGGAAUUCCGAGUGUAGCGGUGAAAUGCGUAGAUAUUAGGAGGAACACCAGUGGCGAAGGCGGCUUACUGGACUGUAACUGACGUUGAGGCUCGAAAGCGUGGGGAGCAAACAGGAUUAGAUACCCCUGUAGUC